AUCCGACUGACGAGUCCCAAAUAGCACGAAACGCUCGUCAAAUCGGGU
rnacentral:hammerhead_ribozyme from 1 species